UAAACUACGAUUAGAUACCCUAUUAUUUUAAAUGUAAAAGGUGUAAGGCUUGAGUAGUAGUAGAUAUGUUCUUGAAACUCAAAGAAUUUGGCGGUAUUUUAAGUCCUUUCAGAGGAACCUGCCCCGUAAUCGAUAGUCCACGUUAAAUCUUACUUAAUUUUGUUAUCAAUUUGUAUACCGCCGUCGUCUGAAUGUCCUAUUAGGGAAAAAAUUUUCUGAGUUUUUAAGUUGAAAAGAUGUCAGGUCAAGGUGCAGUUUAUGAUUAAGUGGUGGUGGGUUACAAUAAAUUUAUUUAUACGGAGAAGAGUUUGUAAGAGUUCUUGGAAGGUGGAUUUGAUUGUAAUGCUGGUUAUUAAGCCAGUUUGAUUUAGGCUCUAAAGUAUGUACACAUCGCCCGUCGCUCUUA
rnacentral:rRNA from 1 species